UUUCCGUAGGUGAACCUGCGGAAGGAUCAUUAAUGCAUAACCGAGGUGCGAGGGCUGCCGCUGACCCGAAAGGUCGAGCACGCAGGAGUGCCCUCACACACAUCCAUUUCACCACUAUGGUCACCCCCACGCGGCUCCCCCUUUUGCUUGUUCGGCGGGGGGCUUACGGUCCCACACAAACUCUGUAUGCAGGGCAGUAUGUAUCGUUUGUCUCUCCGAGCACGCAAGCAAUACAACAUUAAACAACGGACCUCUUGGCUAGCGCAUCGAUGAAGAACC
rnacentral:misc_RNA from 1 species